CCCUACGGGAGGCAGCAGUGGGGAAUUUUGGACAAUGGGCGCAAGCCUGAUCCAGCCAUGCCGCGUGCAGGAUGAAGGCCUUCGGGUUGUAAACUGCUUUUGUACGGAACGAAAAGACUCUGGUUAAUACCUGGGGUCCAUGACGGUACCGUAAGAAUAAGCACCGGCUAACUACGUGCCAGCAGCCGCGGUAAUACGUAGGGUGCGAGCGUUAAUCGGAAUUACUGGGCGUAAAGCGUGCGCAGGCGGUUAUGUAAGACAGAUGUGAAAUCCCCGGGCUCAACCUGGGAACUGCAUUUGUGACUGCAUAGCUAGAGUACGGCAGAGGGGGAUGGAAUUCCGCGUGUAGCAGUGAAAUGCGUAGAUAUGCGGAGGAACACCGAUGGCGAAGGCAAUCCCCUGGGCCUGUACUGACGCUCAUGCACGAAAGCGUGGGGAGCAAACAGGAUUAGAUACCCUGGUAGUCCU
rnacentral:rRNA from 1 species